rnacentral:tRNA from 1 species
GCCUGGGUGGCUCAGUAGGUUAAGCAUCCAACUUUGGCUCAGGUCAUGAUCUCACGGUUUGUGGGUUCAAAUCCCACGUCAGGCU